rnacentral:rRNA from 1 species
UACAGAGGGUGCGAGCGUUGUCCGGAAUCACUGGGCUUAAAGGGCGCGUAGGCGGGUGCUCAAGUCUGUGGUGAAAUCCUCCAGCUUAACUGGAGAACUGCCAUGGAUACUGGGUGUCUCGAGGAAGAUAGGGGUAUGCGGAACGAUUGGUGGAGCGGUGAAAUGCGUUGAUAUCAAUCGGAACUCCGGUGGCGAAGGCGGCAUACUGGAUCUUAUCUGACGCUGAGGCGCGAAAGCUAGGGGGGCAAACGGG